UACGGGGGGGGCAAGCGUUGUUCGGAAUUACUGGGCGUAAAGGGCCAGUAGGCGGCCAACUAAGUCGGAUGUGAAAUCCCCAGGCUUAACCUGGGAACUGCAUCCGAUACUGGAUGGCUUGAAUUCGGGAGAGGGAUGCAGAAUUCCAGGUGUAGCGGUGAAAUGCGUAGAUAUCUGGAGGAAUACCGGUGGCGAAGGCGGCAUCCUGGACCGACAUUGACACUGAACGGCGAAAGCUAGGGGAGCAAACGGG
rnacentral:rRNA from 1 species